CUGAAAGGACCUCUCCAUAAGACAUACCCACCAGUGCCAUGAGAGUUUACCAUUGCCAUAGAAACAUCCAGAAGUCGCAGCGCCUUGCCAUGGCAACACCUGGAAAUUCCUGCCCCUGCCAUAGCAACACCUGGAAGUUGGGGCAACACCACCCAUUUUCUAGCUAUUUCUGAACAACCUACCCCUUAAUUAUCACAUGAUUAAAAGUGGGUAUAAAUGUGACUGUAAAAAUGCCCCUGGCUGCUACUCUCGGCCCUCUGCCUAUGAAUUACCCCUGCUCCGCAGGAGUAGUCACAGAGCUGUAACACUGCUGCCCCAUCAAUAAAGCUGUUUUCUUCUAUUACUGGCUUACUCUUACAUUCCUUCCUGAGCAAAGCUGAGAACUUGCCUUGCAUCAGUAUUGAGCCAGCCACUCACCACUAGAGAUGGUGAGAAGCAGCAUUUGAUGUGGCAGCAAGACAGUGGAAACAGCGGAGAAGCAAGACAGCAAGAGACAGCAAGAGAUGGCACUUUAUGAGAAGACGGGCACAGUGAUCAGCAAUGGGAAAGACAGCUAUUGGAGAAGUGGCAAGACAGCGAUCAGUGAGAGAGGAUGAGACGGUGAUCAGCGCUACAGCGAUCAAAGCUACAGAGUUGCUAACAUUGCAGAGCUAUUAACACUAGCCAAAGGCUGUUUUAAGAGCCAUCAUCUUUCCUGACAGGUGGUGGAGCCCUGGGGAUGGCCAAGUGGCCACAGAGCCACUGCUUCAUGCAGGCUAACCGCUCCAUGCUCCAGUUCCCCCAUAGGAGCCCAACCCACCCGAGCUGGGAAGCCUGGAGAGAUCUUCAUGCAGGCCCCAUGUCAGACACUGCUUGGCCCCAUUUUGGCUCCUGCACACCUACAUAGUCCUCAUUUCCAAGAUAACAAGCCUGACAAAAUUAUACUGGAGCAAGUCCACAGGCUUGUGCCAAACAUCUUCUGGGUGGAUUUAGGUGAUUGAGGAGAAGAAAGACACAGGAGUGAAAUUCUGUGAGCACAAGGGAGGAGUUCUACACUCAGACUGAGCCAACAGACUUUUCUGGCCUGACAACCAGGGC